CUUCUAAGAGAUUCCAAGACAAAUUUUCAGGCAUGAGACUGCUUUAAUAACUCUUCUGCUUUAGGGUGUACAAAGGUGCGCCCCACUCCCUCCCCAAAAAAUCUUUUCCCUAGAAUGUAAAUGAAUUUUUCGACACUUUAGGGUAGUAUUUUUACAACAAAAAAUCUGUUAAGAAUCUGCAUUGACUAAAGAAUACAUGAAAUACCAUAAAAAAUUGGGUUAUUUUGAGUUAUUUUUCAUCCAAGUUUUCUGCUACGCCAAGUUAUUGGAGGUUUUGGGCAGAUUUGGUUUCAGUUCGAAAUGACACUGGUAUUCAUUUUUAUGUUAUUAUUUCUAUAAAAAAUAACAGAUAAAUCAUUAUAUAAAAAUUUAGUAGUACAGUAAAUACAAUUAAUAAAAUAUAAAAUAUUUUUAAAAAGGUGUACUUGUUUUCUCUUUUAGACUGUCAUGCAGCUCUUUCACAUCAGUUGAAAAUAGUAUUGCCAACCUGGAACAAAUUGAAGGAAGAAAAAAUUUACAUUUUUCCUUCAUUUCUGAAAAAUGUGGAAAAGCAAAUGUCAAACUAUUGGCAGGCCAUUUUAAAAAAAAUGAGGCACCACCUGAAUUUCAACUUAGACCUUGACGCAGAUCAUGGCCACACCAUUGAUGAGGUGUUUUUAAAAUCUUCUGAGAUCAUUCUGAAACAAACAUUAUCUCACCAGAUAUGGCGUUGGGGAUUCCUGACAGAAGGCAUAGAAGCUGGCGAGGUCGGUGUACUGUAUUAUUUCCAAUUGAAAUGGUCAGAUGAAAUCAUAAAAGUGGAUAUCAGUGCUGCAUCUGAAAAAGCCAUAGUCUCAUACUGUGAAGAAAAGAUCUAUCGUAUUUGGGGAAAACCAGCUGGUAGAGCCUGAAUUUAUUUCAGCUGACCAGCUAGAGAAGACACUAUUUCAAUAUACGUAAUUUCAAUCACUCAAGAGGCUGGAUUGGGACAGGGGAUAUGGUCUGUCUCUCAUGCUCAUUGAUUUUUUAAUACUUGCUGUCCAUGUUUUCAGUUGUAAGGCCUGAUAUACAGUUUAUUCUACUGUACAGACUUUUAAAUUAGAUGGUAAAAGUUGUAUAUUUGCAAAAAAAUUAAUAAAAUUA